CUGGGGGAUUGCACUCAGGGAUGUGUGAGUGUGCACGUGUGGGAGGGUUAUCCCACAGCAAUGUCACACAAUUCCACAAUCAUUUAGCCUGGAAGAAGCUCCCCUCUGCCAGGGGCUGCACCUCAGCCACCCCUGUGGCCUGGGACUGAGGCAAACAGGUCCCCAGUUCUCCAUCCAGGGAAUUCCACAGCUCCAAUUCCUCACCUUGCCCGCUCUGAGAUCCUCAAGCAAACUCUGCAGCUCCUCAGAGAAGGCAAGGCAGCAACCACAAAGCUGCUGGCAGCUUUACAUUAGAGAGGAGCCACAUUAACUCUGGGGAGAGCUGACAAUCCAUGCAGGGAGCAAACCCUCAGGAAACAGCAGCCAGGAGUGCCUGGAAAUGUCUGAAAUCAGAACACAGCCCCGAGAACAGAGGAGAACUGCAAGCAAACAGGCAAGGAAGCACUUGGCUCCAGGGGAACAUUCUGUCCCGUCCUCAAAACUCAACCAGACUUGGACUGCAGGU